rnacentral:rRNA from 1 species
UACGGAAGGCAGCAGUGGGGAAGUAUUGCACAAUGGGCGCAAGCCUGAUGCAGCCAUGCCGCGUGUAUGAAGAAGGCCUUCGGGUUGUAAAGUACUUUCAGUCGUGAGGAAGGUGUUAAGGUUAAUAACCUUAGCAAUUGACGUUAGCGACAGAAGAAGCACCGGCUAACUCCGUGCCAGCAGCCGCGGUAAUACGGAGGGUGCGAGCGUUAAUCGGAAUUACUGGGCGUAAAGGGCACGCAGGCGGUUAAUUAAGUUGGAUGUGAAAUCCCCGGGCUUAACCUGGGAAUGGCAUUCAAGACUGGUUAGCUAGAGUCUUGUAGAGGGGGUAGAAUUCCAUGUGUAGCGGUGAAAUGCGUAGAGAUGUGGAGGAAUACCGGUGGCGAAGGCGGCCCCUGGACAAAGACUGACGCUCAUAUGCGAAAAGCGUGGGGAGCAAACAGGGAUUAGAUACC